GGAAAUGUGCCCGAAAGAUAAGGAUCUCCUUGAUAGGGAGAAAUAUAGAGGUUCAAACCCUCUCAUUUCCU
rnacentral:tRNA from 1 species